GCUGGCGGUUAGCGAGAGCAGGAGCGGGGGAGGUGAAAGCUGGCGCCAUGGUAGAGAAGGAGGAGGCCUGCGGUGGCGGCAUCAGCGAGGAGGCGGCGGCGCAGUAUGACCGACAGAUCCGCCUGUGGGGACUGGAGGCUCAGAAGCGGCUUCGAGCUUCCCGGGUGCUGAUUGUUGGCAUGAAAGGACUUGGGGCUGAAAUUGCCAAGAAUCUUAUCCUGGCAGGAGUAAAAGGGCUCACCAUGCUGGACCACGAACAGGUAUCUCCAGAAGACCCUGGAGCUCAGUUCUUGAUUCGGACUGGGUCUGUGGGCCGAAAUAGGGCCGAGGCCUCGUUAGAACGAGCCCAGAAUCUCAACCCCAUGGUGGAUGUAAAGGUGGACACUGAAGAUAUAGAGAAGAAGCCAGAGUCCUUCUUCACGAAAUUUGAUGCGGUGUGCCUGACUUGCUGCUCCAGAGAUGUCAUCAUUAAAGUCGACCAGAUCUGUCACAGAAACAGCAUCAAGUUCUUCACAGAUGUCUUUGGGUACCAUGGGUACACCUUUGUAAAUCUUGGAGAGCAUGAAUUUGUAGAAGAGAAAACCAAAGUUGCCAAAGUCAGCCAAGGAGUGGAAGAUGGACCUGAUGCCAAGAGAGCAAAGCUUGAUUCAUCGGAGACAACCAUGGUCAAAAAGAAAGUGCUUUUCUGCCCUGUCAAAGAGAAUCUAGAAGUGGACUGGAGUGGAGAGAAAGCCAAGGCUGCCCUGAAGCGUACUGCCACAGACUAC